GAGGAAUAUUGGUCAAUGGGCGAGAGCCUGAACCAGCCAAGUAGCGUGCAGGAUGACGGCCCUCCGGGUUGUAAGCUGCUUUUAGUUGGGAAUAAAAAAAGGGACUUGUCCCUUCUUGUAUGUACCUUCAGAAAAAGGACCGGCUAAUUCCGUGCCAGCAGCCGCGGUAAUACGGAAGGUCCAGGCGUUAUCCGGAUUUAUUGGGUUUAAAGGGAGCGUAGGCGGAUUGUUAAGUCAGCGGUUAAAGGGUGUGGCUCAACCAUGCAUUGCCGUUGAAACUGGCGAUCUUGAGUGCAGACAGGGAUGCCGGAAUUCGUGGUGUAGCGGUGAGAUGCUUAGAUAUCACGAAGAACUCCGAUCGCGAAGGCAGGUGUCCGGGCUGCAACUGACGCUGAGGCUCGAAAGUGUGGGUAUCAAACAGGAUUAGAUACCCUGGUAGUCCACACAGUAAACGAUGUAUACUCGCGGUUUGCGAUAGACAGUAAGCCGCCAAGCGAAAGCAUUAAGUAUACCACCUGGGGAGUACGCCGGCAACGGUG
rnacentral:rRNA from 1 species